GACGAACGCUGGCGGCGUGCUUAACACAUGCAAGUCGAACGGAAAGGCCCUGCUUUUGUGGGGUGCUCGAGUGGCGAACGGGUGAGUAACACGUGAGUAACCUGCCCUUGACUUUGGGAUAACUUCGGGAAACUGGGGCUAAUACCGGAUAGGAGCUCCUGCUGCAUGGUGGGGGUUGGAAAGUUUCGGCGGUUGGGGAUGGACUCGCGGCUUAUCAGCUUGUUGGUGGGGUAGUGGCUUACCAAGGCUUUGACGGGUAGCCGGCCUGAGAGGGUGACCGGCCACAUUGGGACUGAGAUACGGCCCAGACUCCUACGGGAGGCAGCAGUGGGGAAUAUUGCACAAUGGGCGGAAGCCUGAUGCAGCAACGCCGCGUGCGGGAUGACGGCCUUCGGGUUGUAAACCGCUUUCGCCUGUGACGAAGCGUGAGUGACGGUAAUGGGUAAAGAAGCACCGGCUAACUACG
rnacentral:rRNA from 1 species